rnacentral:tRNA from 1 species
GCCCGGAUAGCCAAGCGGUUACGGCGGCAGCCUGGAAAGCUGCUGUCCUAACGGACGCGUGAGUUCGAAUCUCACUCCGGGCGCCA